UUAAAAUUCGUUGCAGUUAAAACGCUCGUAGUUGAAUUUCAAAGAAUCGACAUUUUAAGCAACGCUUCUAGCUUAAUCCACAUAACUGAUACUUCGUAUCGACUUUGUGCGCAUUUUGCUAUUAUGUGUUCUUUUAAUUAAAAUGAUUCUUUUUAAGGACUUUCUUUGCUUCGGCUUGGAAGUCCUUGUUACUUUGAGUAAAUUAGAGUGUUCAAAGCAAACAGAUAUAGCAUUGCGCGUUUGAAUACUACAGCAUGGAAUAACAAAAUUGAACAAGUCAGAAUUUUGUUCUUUUUUCUUAUUUUGGCUUAGUUACGAUUAAUAGGAGUAGCUUGGGGGCAUUUGUAUUCAGAUGUCAGAGGUGAAAUUCUUAGAUUUUCUGGAGACAAACAACUGCGAAAGCAUUUGCCUAAAAUACUUCCAUUAAUCAAGAACGAAAGUUAAGGGAGUGAAGACGAUCAGAUACCGUCGUAAUCUUAACCAUAAACUAUGCCGACUAGGCUUUGGAUGAAAGAUUUUAAAAUAAGAGUUUUCUCUUCGGAGUUUACUCUUAGAUUGCUUCCUUCAGUGCCUUAUGAGAAAUCAAAGUCUUUGGGUUCUGGGGCGAGUAUUCGCGCAAGCGAGAAAGUUAAAAGAAUUGACGGAAGGGCACCACCAGGCGUGGAGCUUGCGGCUUAAUUUGACUCAACACGGGAAAACUCACUAGUUUAAGACAAGAGUAGGAUUGACAGAUUAAUAGCUCUUUCUUGAUUUCUUGGAUGGUGAUGCAUGGCCGUUUUUAGUUCGUGAAUAUGAUUUGUCUGGUUAAUUCCGAUAACGAACGAGAUCUUAACCUGCUAAUUAGCGGCAAAUACGAUAUAUUCUUACGUGGGACUGAAUUCGGUUGAUUUGCUUACUUUGAAGAAAAUAUUGGGAAUACGUAACAGUUUCCCUUUCCCUUUUCUACUUAGUUCGCUUUUCAUACUGUUUCUUUUUCGCGUAAGAAUGUAUUUGCUUGAUUGUAAAGCUUCUUAGAGGAACGAUGUGUGUCUAACACAAGGAAGUUUAAGGCAACAACAGG
rnacentral:rRNA from 1 species